rnacentral:rRNA from 1 species
UACGUAGGGUGCAAGCGUUGUCCGGAAUUAUUGGGCGUAAAGAGCUCGUAGGCGGUUUGUCGCGUCGAAUGUGAAAACCCGGGGCUCAACCCCGGGCCUGCAUUCGAUACGGGCAGACUAGAGUGCGGUAGGGGAGACUGGAAUUCCUGGUGUAGCGGUGAAAUGCGCAGAUAUCAGGAGGAACACCGAUGGCGAAGGCAGGUCUCUGGGCCGAUACUGACGCUGAGGAGCGAAAGCGUGGGGAGCGAACAGG